CAUGCAAGUCGAGCGAACGGACGAGAAGCUUGCUUCUCUGAUGUUAGCGGCGGACGGGUGAGUAACACGUGGAUAACCUACCUAUAAGACUGGGAUAACUUCGGGAAACCGGAGCUAAUACCGGAUAAUAUUUUGAACCGCAUGGUUCAAAAGUGAAAGACGGUCUUGCUGUCACUUAAUAGAUGGAUCCGCGCUGCAUUAGCUAGUUGGUAAGGUAACGGCUUACCAAGGCAACGAUGCAUAGCCGACCUGAGAGGGUGAUCGGCCACACUGGAACUGAGACACGGUCCAGACUCCUACGGGAGGCAGCAGUAGGGAAUCUUCCGCAAUGGGCGAAAGCCUGACGGAGCAACGCCGCGUGAGUGAUGAAGGUCUUCGGAUCGUAAAACUCUGUUAUUAGGGAAGAACAUAUGUGUAAGUAACUGUGCACAUCUUGACGGUACCUAAUCAGAAAGCCACGGCUAACUACGUGCCAGCAGCCGCGGUAAUACGUAGGUGGCAAGCGUUAUCCGGAAUUAUUGGGCGUAAAGCGCGCGUAGGCGGUUUUUUAAGUCUGAUGUGAAAGCCCACGGCUCAACCGUGGAGGGUCAUUGGAAACUGGAAAACUUGAGUGCAGAAGAGGAAAGUGGAAUUCCAUGUGUAGCGGUGAAAUGCGCAGAGAUAUGGAGGAACACCAGUGGCGAAGGCGACUUUCUGGUCUGUAACUGACGCUGAUGUGCGAAA
rnacentral:rRNA from 1 species